rnacentral:tmRNA from 1 species
GGGGCUGAUUUGGUUUCGACAUUUAAAAAUGGUUUCUAUAUGUUAGGUCAAAGUUUGUAAUCUUUGUAAAAAAUACUAAAUUCUUAUAAUAAAUGCUAACAAUAUAAUGCCUUUUAUGUUUAAAGUAGUAAAACUAAAAUCUCCAGUAACUAUUUUAAAUAGUGUUGUGUAAUUACUUAUGGUAGGUUUGGGUUGUUAAAUAUUUUUUCAUUCUUGCUAGACUUUUAUCUAGUUUAUAGUUUAGAAUAGUUUUAAAUUUUCAAUAUUCAAGUUUUUUUGAAUUAAACCUGUAAAUAAGUAUAGUAAUCAACUUUAGAUGGACAUGGGUUCAAUUCCCAUCAGCUCCAA